AUACGGAAGGUCCGGGCGUUACCCGGAUUUAUUGGGUUUAAAGGGAGCGCAGGCGGAGAUGCAAGCGUGACGUCAAAUUUCGGGGCUCAACCCCGUCUCGCGUCGCGAACUGCGUCCCUUGGUUGCGGGAAGGGGAGGCGGAACUCGUGGUGUAGCGGUGAAAUGCAUAGAUAUCACGAAGAACUCCGAUCGCGAAGGCAGCCUUCCGGCCCGUCAACGACGCUCAUGCUCGAAGGUGCGGGUAUCAAACAGGAUUAGAUACCCUGGUAGUCCGCACAGUAAACGAUGGACACCCGCGGUUUGGCCUAUAUGGCUGAGCCGCCAAGCGAAAGCGUUAAGUGUCUUACCUGGGGAGUACGCCGGCAACGGUGAAACUCAAAUGAAUUGACGGGG
rnacentral:rRNA from 1 species